AGCUCAAACAAGCACUCUGCUGUUAAGCAUUACAGACAUACCAGAGGUGAGUAUAAGUGAAGAAUCCAGAAAUAUUCUAGCUUUAGAGCAAGAAGAAACAAGCUGCCAGCAUGUGUUUGGCUGAGUUACUCUGUAGGCUGAACCUUGGGGCAGGGUAGAGAGAGGGCCAUAUGCCUGCAUGAGCUUGGAAGAAAGAACUCCUGGGUGGUAAGUCUGACAGAAAGAGGAUAACAAUCAUAAUAACAAAAUUGUAUUAAGUGCCUAUGUGCCACGCACAGCACCAAGGGUUUUCUGUGCAUGCUGUCAUUUACUUAUUACAAUCUGGUUAGGAGGCAGUUAUCAAUUCAUUUUAUAGAUGAGGAAACUAGGGAUCAGAGAAGCUAAAGUGACCUGGCCCAGAUUUCAAAGCUGGCACACCAUAGGUACAGGGCUUGGCUUGGGAAUUUGUGUUGUCAGGAUUCUUGGUUGUAAACAACAAAACCCAAUUUGGUUCACUUAAGCAGAAGAGGAACUUACUGGGUAGCUCUGAGGCAGCUCAUAAGGUCAAUGGAAAGAAAGGCUGGGGAUCAAAUUAAAGAAACUCAUAGGAAUUACAGGAGACCGGGUGGCUGGACCCUGCCUAGACAGUAACUUCCUAGGGAUGCCCCUGCAGGACACUGGAGGCUACUGGCCCAGGUACUGGCAGAGUAAUUUCUCCUGUCUUGCCUGUUUCUUUGGGACACCUGCUCCUACAUUCAAAUCAAAACCCCUGUCUGUCUCAGCUGGGAGGAAUCCCUCCCACCUGAAAUCCCACCAGGGAGGUGCCCCUCCCCCCAGGUAAGAAGACUAUUGGAAUGUUACUUAGCAAACAACAAUGACAACAAAAAGCAGGCAUGGGAAUGCCCCAGUCUCCCAGGUCUCCUGGCUACCCCCCAGAGGUGACUAUAACGCCAACAGCUCUCUGCCCUACCUGGGCCUUCUCCAGGUUGUUAUAAAAAGAGAAUGCGUGGGAAGCUGUUUUAUAAAUGAAAGCUGGGGAUCCCUGGGUGGCGCAGCGGUUUGGCGCCUGCCUUUGGCCCAGGGCGCGAUCCUGGAGAUCCAGGAUCGAAUCCCACAUCAGGCUCCCGGUGCAUGGAGCCUGCUUCUCCCUCUGCCUAUGUCUCUGCCUCUCUCUCUCUCUCUGACUAUCAUAAAUAAAUAAAAAUUUAAAAAAAUUUAUAAAUGAAAGCUGACAACACAUUAGCUAUUGUCUUAUCAGGACCAUGUGUUCGAGUGCAUUUGUGUGUGUGUUUGUGUAUAUAUACAUAUAUAUUGUUAAGAUUUUAUUUAUUUAUUCAUGAGAGACACGGAGACAGGCAGAGAAAAGCAGGCUUCUCAUGGGGAGCCUGAUGUGGGACUCGAUCCCACCACCCCAGGAUCACUUCCUGAGCCAAAGGCAGGUGCUCAAACACUGAGCCACCUAGGCUCCCCCAUACUUGUGUAUAUUUGUGUGCUGUUAGGUGUUUGGCUAGUAUUCAAAGACAUUUUUUUGUCGCAAAGGUUCUCUGAUACCCACACAUCACAUGAGUGCUUAUAUAGACAUGUGGACGUGUGAAUAUUUGUGUGUGUAUAUGUGUAUGUAUUGACCUAACAGGUACACCUCCCUACCUCUCCCUGAUGCAUUAGGGUCUCCUGGGCUCUAAUACCUUUAAUUAUGUGCCCUCCAAAUUUUCUGGAACCCUUGUUUGAUUUUUUUAAUCUGGAUCCCCAAACCAUAUCCAUCCAAGAUGACUGGCUUACUGUGAGAGAAGCUAAAUUUGUGAUUAUUAAAGAAAUGGACAUUAUCAACGGAGACCAGAUAGGUUUGUCCAAAUACAGAGAAAAAUGGUUUGACAAUAGGUAUGAAGCAAAUCUAAAGAGGAAAGUGCUAGAAAGAGAAAACAUGUAGGAGAGCUGCUAAAAGUUAUGGCUAAAAGAUACGAAGUGUUGGGGUGCCUGGGUGACUCAGUCGGCUGAGCAUCUGACUCUUGAUUUUGGUCAGGUAACCAUCUUGGGGUCGUGGGAUGCAGCUCUGAGUUCAGCAGGGAAUCUGCUGGAGAUUCUCUCUGCUUCUCCCACUGCCUCUCCCCUACGUCAUGCUCUCUCUCAAAUAAAUAAAUAAAUAAAUCUUAAACUUAAAAAAAA
rnacentral:lncRNA from 1 species